AAAAUCCCAAAACACACACACACUCUAACCCUAAACUCCCCAAGCCGCCACCCACCCUCAGAAAGAAACGUAGAGGGAGAGAAGGAAAGAAAAGAGGGAGGAUGGCGCCAGAGGAAAUCACUGCCACCGUACCGUCAUGUCACACGUAGGAGGGAGGUCGAGGGAGAGCGACGCUGGGAGAGAGGAGAUGCGAGCCAAGGCUGAGAGGAAGAAGAUGCCGCCGAGCUUGCCAUCGUUGAGGUCAUUGUGACUGCUAGGAAGCUGCCUCGCCACCAAGCCGCUGCAGUCGAGGAUCCUGUCCAUGUCACCAUCACCGAGGAGAAUCCAAUUCUGUCAUCGCCGUUGUGCCAGUCACCGUCCGUGGAGCCAUCGUCGUCGUCGUCUCGUGCCGUCGCGUCUUACCAUCACCGCUGUUGGGCCGCCAUUGAUGCGAGGAACAGAACGCGUAAGAGAGAGGAUAGAGAGCUUCGUGGGAGCUCCGUCGUUGCCAAGCCGUCGCUACCGCUGCGGGUUCGUCGCUGAGUCUCUGUUACCGGGAUCCACUGCCAAUAAGAGUGUUUUUGCUUCUAGCUCCGUUCUUUUGAAUUUUCUGGAACAUUGUUGUCACUGCAUUGUUGUUACAACUACUGUCCUCGAGUUACAUACAGUUGUCAGAGCCGUUCCUUAUCGACAUGACUGUUGUUGCUGCCAUUGUCGGAGUUUCCUGGUCGUCGCCACUGCCAUUGCUGCCGCAAAGGUUUUUCGCCAUCACCAGAGCCGUUGUUGCUCCGUUUCCUCAUUUCCUCUUAAAUUAUAGAUUGAGUUAUCUAGGUUGCAUGUUGCAAUUAAAGCUGCUACUAUUGUUGCGGAAGUAAACGGAGUCGUGGAUGCAGCUGCCGCCAUUGCGGGCUGAGGAAAAAAUGGAUUUAAUGCGUUUAAUUAUGCAAAUUUUGGUUAAUUGAGGUCUUCAAAGAAGGUGAGUUAACUUUGGAUAUGGAGACGCCCUAUGAUUGGCUUUUGUCCAUAUUUCCUUCAAGACCAAAAAUUUAAAGCUCAAAGAAAUCAAGAAAGGCGAAGAGUCUUGGAAAAGGAGGCAACAAGUUUUGAAAAAGUAUUGGUAGAGUUUAAGACUCCCAGAAAGGCUAUUCAAAGUUUAACCUUCUACUUUUUUAUUUGUUUAUUAUCGCUGUUAAAUUAUUAUGCAUGCUUUUUCUAUACUUGCUUAUCUAUGCUUGUUUGCGUAAACCAUUUAUAGUGAAAGUAUAGAUUAUAUUCAUGAUAAGACUUUUAUUUGUUGUGGUUUGUCGUUGAAAAAAAAAUGAGCCUAAAACCGAGGUGUAUCAGAAUGAUGAGCCUUCACAUGCUAGGAUCAUUUCAAAAACAGAGUUUCCACCAUCAUUAGCAUCUACGUCAGGAGAUGUUGUUAUGAUACAACUUUAAGUAGCUGACGUCUAGGUUCCUAAUGUAAACAAUGAGAAGGACGAUGACAUUGAGAUCUAUGUUGACAAUGAUGCUUAUAUUAAUGAUGAUGAUGAUGAUAGAAGUUUGGAACUCUCGGAUUGAGGUUUUAGUUGUAAAUUCUUAGUUUACAAAUCUGUUAAUUUACUUUAAUUCGUAUUUUGUAAUUUUUUGUAUCGGUUAUGUUAUGGAUAAUAACUUACUGAUUUCAAUGUGUACAUGAUAUGGUUGGUAGAGAUGGAGAUCGCGGUCAUAGCCGUGGCCGUGGCCGUGGCCAAGGCUGAAAGGGUGAUCCAGCUAUUGUACAUGAUAUCUCUGGUAAAGACGGACAUCGCGGUCAUGGCCGUGGCCAAGGCCGAAAGGGUGAUCCAACUAUUGUACAUGAUAUCUCUGGUAAAGAUGGAGAUCGUGGCCGUGGCUGAGGCCGAAAGGGGAUGCCUAGGAUUUCUACCGGUUGUCCCCUUGACUUAAAUGCGGAUCCAUACACUCUCAUUGGGUCAUCAUCAAACACGACUGUUUCGACUAGUGGGAGACUGCCACCUAUUGCUACUACUACCCCCUCUCAUCAGGAGCCUCAGAUACACAUGAUGCCUACUCGGGGUGCACCAAGAUCAUGCGCUCAACAAGCCUAUGAGCCUCCCAAUUCUGCCUCACAUGGUGGGCAGAGUGAUCCAGCUAUUGUGGCUCCUAGUCGACCAGGAUCUUGUGGGGCAAACCACAUCUACUGGUACCCAAGAUACCCAGGGUCAAGGAACAUCCACUGCCACUGGUCACUCCGCCACAAGUGCACCCAAGCUUAGAUAUGAUGGUGCCAAAUGUUGACACCCAGCUAAGCUUGGCUAAAAGCGCAUUUAUCAGAUAGGCUUUGACAUUCUUGAUACGGAAGAGGAUGACAUCUAUCAAGCUUGGAGGUUUAGGGCUGCCAAGUGCUUGCGAGCUAUGCUCCAUGCCAUUCGCAAAAAAGGAGCCCGUCUAUAUUGGAUCCUACCAGAAGUUCUUAGUGAAUUAAUGAGACAUUAGAACACUGAUGCCUGUAGACAAUUACAGGCGAGAAAUACAAUUGCCAGAAAACUGACUCGAGGUACCUUCCUUCACACUGUAGGAGGCGCCACCUUUCUAGAAGCGAGGUUAUGCCUGAAUCAAUCGCUUCAAAGACCAUCACGUAUGGACGAGUUUUUUUAGCACACCCAUAUUCGCAAAAAGGAUAUGACUCAAUAGGAGAUAUUUCAAGAGCGCAUGUUUCAGACAGAGCAAGAGCGGCAGGAUACUAUAGAGGCGGGUGUAACUGAUCCACCGUUUGACUCUGAGAAAAGCAUAUGGAUUGAGAUAGUGGGUGAAAAACAAAGAGGUAAGGUAUAUGGCAUGGGUAGGUAAGGAACUCUUCCAUGGUGCGAUCCCGAUUUAUUGGGCCAACCACGACCACCAGCACUGAUGUUUUGGAUCUUAGAGAAAAAAUCACAAUACUCAAUAGGAAAGUUGAACAUGCCGCUAAUAUAGAGAAUUUGAAGACCGUUAUCAAAUGGAGAAAAGGGAGUGGCAACAGACUGUUGAAUCCUUGUGUGAGGAUCUCAACACCAGUAACUCACAAAUGGAUCAGUUUAGUCAUCAACUCAGUAGCUUGACUGAGUAUCUGAGGGCUAUGGGUCCUAAUAGUUCUGGAUCACGUGUCCCUCCA